UCUUCUUCUUUUUCCCAGUAUUUAAUUAUACUAUAAUUUAGGGUGAUUUUGUUUAGUUCAAUAUGAGCGUGGAAGGGAGCUAGGAUAAAACCCUUCAAUCUCAUCUAUUGACUAUUUGGUUAACUUUGGUUUGCUGGUGACUGGUGGCGGGUCUUUCAUUUACUGGAUUUCUGUUUUUGUUUUGGAAAUUUUAGAAGUGUGUUGAAUUGCUAUGAACUGUGCACUAUUCAUGGUGGUGUUUGCUGAUUACAGGUGCCCCAAGUGCGUAGAACUAAAGCUUCGCCGUGAAGGUGCUGCUUUCUGUUCCCAAGAGUGUUUCAAGGCAUCCUGGAGUUCCCAUAAAUCUGUUCACUUGAAUGCAAAAUCUUCUUUAAUUGCAUCUGAAAGUUAUAGUGAACAGAACUUGGGUCUGCCGGGUGACGGCUGGCUCUACUGCUUGAUAGAAGGACAAGCACAGACACCAAAACUUCCA